UUUUUUUUUUUUUAAGAUUUUAUUUAUUUAUUCAUAGACACACACACAGAGAGAGGCAGAGACACAGGGAGAGGGGGAAGCAGGCUCCAUGCAGGGAGUGCGAUGUGGGACUCGAUCCCGAGUCUCCAGGAUCACACCCAAGGCUGCAGGCGGCGCCAAACCGCUGCGCCACCAGGGCUGCCCGAUCCUGGGUGAAUUCCAGUGAUUGUUUCCUCUGUUACUUUUAAGUGGAUAGUUCCUUCACAUGCAUAUGAUGAUCAAUACUCAGCUGAAGAACUGAAGGCACUCUGAGGGUCUCCACUCCCUUCCCUCUUUCUCUCUCACUAUAUAUAUAUAUAUAUAUAUAUAUAUAUAUAUAUAUAUAUACCCCCUCUGUAAACUGUAGCUACUUUGGCCUCUCUGAAGUCCCACUUUUGUAUCCUCAACUCAAAGAUUUUAAGCUCCAUAUGGAUACCCCUUUCUUGCCUUAUGGCCAGAAAGUCUCCAGGCAGCUAGCUGGGCAACCAUAGGAUUACCUCACUUUCCCCCCUCUCUCAGGGAAGGGAUUACUGUCCUUCUUUAUCUGAUAUCCACUGUCCUAAGACCAUAUUUCUUAUAUUUUGUCCAGAUAUAUACUUUUUAAAGCAGAAAGUUCAAUCAAACCCCUAUAACCUCAUCUUAAUCAGAAGCAGAAGUCCACAAUAAAUGUAUUAAAUUUUUAGCAUUUUCAAGUUUCCUACCCAUCUUUCUUCCAAUGCCUGUUUCAAAAACAACCUUACUCAAAGCCUGUGUAUAACUUGUUAACUAUCUGUCUCAAAUACUCUACAGUUUACCUAAAUCUAUAAGCACUUUUUAAUUCCUUCCUUCCCUCCCCUUAAACCCAACAGGGGCAAGUCUCCACUUAACAUCUUCACUUUGUAUCAUCAGCAUCUCCCUCUGUUCUCACUCCUUUCCCUUGGCUGUCCUUUCUCAAAUGUAGUUCAUCUUCUUUAAAUGAUAUUAAUUCCCCAGAGUUUGUCUUUAGUCAUUUAUAGAAUCUUCCUAGCUGUAUUGGUCUACUCAGGCUACUUAACAGUACCACAGAUUGGGUAGCUUCAUCAACAGGAAUUUAUUCUCAUAGUUCUAAAAGCUAGAAGUUCAAAAUCAAGGUGCUGGCAAGGUGAAUUUCUGACAAGGCCUUUCAUCUUGGCUUUUCGAUAGCCACCUUCUCACCAGGUGAGAUGCAUGCAUGCAUCUUUCCUUGUGCACACUCUUCUUGUGUCCCUUCUUCUUCUUCUUUUUCUUCUUCUCCUCCUCCUCCUCCUCCUUCAAUAUUUAUCUAUUUAUUCAUGAGAGACACAGAGAGAAAGGGAAGCAGAGACACAGGCAGAGGGAGAAGCAGGAUCCCCACAGGGAGCCAGAUGCGGGACUCAAUCCCAGAUCCUAGGAUCAUGCCCUGAACCCAAGGCAGAUGCUCAACCUCUGAGCCACCCAGGCGUCUUUCUUCUUCUUCUUCUUCUUCUUCUUCUUCUUCUUCUUCUUCUUCUUCUUCUUCUUCUUCUUCUUCUUCUUUUCUUCUUCUUCUUUGAUUUUAUUUAUUCAUGGCAGACAUGGAGAGAGAGAGAGAGAGAGGCAGAGGGAGAAGCAGGCUCCAUGCAGGGAGCCUGACGUAGGAC
rnacentral:lncRNA from 1 species